GAUGAAGAACGUAGCGAAAUGCGAUAAGUAAUGUGAAUUGCAGAAUUCAGUGAAUCAUCGAAUCUUUGAACGCACAUUGCGCCCGCCAGUAUUCUGGCGGGCAUGCCUGUUCGAGCAUCAUUUCAACCAUCAAGCCCCCGGCUUGUGUUGGGGACCUGCGGCUGCCGCAGGCCCUGAAAACCAGUGGCGGGCUCGCUAGUCACUCCGAGCGUAGUAAUACAUCUCGCUCAGGGCGUGCUGCGGGUUCCGGCCGUUAAAAAGCCUUAUUUACCCAAGGUUGACCUCGGAUCAGGUAGGAAGACCCGCUGAACUUAAGCAUAUCAAUAAGCGGAGGA
rnacentral:misc_RNA from 1 species